rnacentral:tRNA from 1 species
GGAGAGGUGGCCGAGUGGCCGAAGGCGCUCCCCUGCUAAGGGAGUACAUCUCACAAGGGUGUCGGGGGUUCGAAUCCCCCCUUCUCCGCCA